UAACACUUGGGGAACCCGCCCGAAAAACUGGGAUAACUUCCGGAAACCGGGGCUUAUACCCGAAGAAUCUUUAACCCCAGGGGUCGGGAUUUAAAAGGCGGUUCCGGUUGAACCUCAUGGGGGGACCCCGGCCCAAUUAAUUAGGGGGGGGGGUAGCGCCCCACCAGGGACCCGAUGUGUAGCCACACCUGAGAGGGGGAUCCCCCACACUGGGAGUGACACAGGGCCCAGACUCCUACGGGAGGCAGUGUUGGGGAAUCUCCCAAAGGGGACAAAACUCUGACGGAACCACCCCGCGUGAGUGAUGAAGGCUUUCGGGUCGAAAAACUCUGUUGUUAAAAGAAGAACAGGUGCUAGAGAAUAAGGUGGCACCUUGACCCUACCUAAGCAGAAAGCCACGGCUUAACUACGGGCCAGCCGCCGCGAUAAUACGGGAGGGGGGAAGCCUCCAUCCAGAAUUAUUGGGCGGGAGCCCGCGCAGGUGGUAACUUAAAUCUGAUGUGAAAGCCCACGGCUCCGCCGGGGAGGGUCAUUGGAAACUGAAAGACUUGAAAAAAAAGAAGAAAGUGCAAUUCCAUGGGUAGCAGGGAAAUGCGAGAGAGGGACGAACACCAGUGGGCGAAGGUACUUUCUGGUCUGAACUGAC
rnacentral:rRNA from 1 species